rnacentral:rRNA from 1 species
AUUAAACGCUGGCGGCAUGCCUUACACAUGCAAGUCGAACGGCAGCACGGGAGCUUGCUCCUGGUGGCGAGUGGCGAACGGGUGAGUAAAGCAUCGGAACGUGCCCUGGAGUGGGGGAUAACGUAGCGAAAGUUACGCUAAUACCGCAUAUUCUGUGAGCAGGAAAGCAGGGGAUCGCAAGACCUUGCGCUUUGGGAGCGGCCGAUGUCGGAUUAGCUAGUUGGUGGGGUAAAGGCCUACCAAGGCGACGAUCCGUAGCGGGUCUGAGAGGAUGAUCCGCCACACUGGGACUGAGACACGGCCCAGACUCCUACGGGAGGCAGCAGUGGGGAAUUUUGGACAAUGGGCGCAAGCCUGAUCCAGCCAUGCCGCGUGAGUGAAGAAGGCCUGGUUGUAAAGCUCUUCGGUUGGGGAAGGAAAGUUAGCACGGGUUAAGUAGCCUGUGUAGAUGACGGUACCUGGAGAAGAAGACACCGGACUAACUACGUAGCCAGCAGCCGCGGUAA